rnacentral:misc_RNA from 1 species
AACGCACCUUGCGCUCCUAGGUCUUCCGAGGAGCAUGCCUGUUUGAGUGUCCAGAACUUGCAUCAAACCACAUCUGCCUUGCGGCGGUGUUGGUUUGGAGUUGGAGUGUUUGCCGUUGGCUUGCCACGGCUCCUCCCAAAUGCAUUAGCUUGCUUCAACAGAGCGCGCCAACGGCUUGAUAAUUGUCUAUGCCUCGAGCGACUCUGUGCGGCUGCUUCCAGUCGUCUCAGGACAAUCUCAUUAAGAUCGGACCUCAAAUCAGGUAGGACUACCCGCUGAACUUAA